UGGGGAAUUUUGGACAAUGGGGGCAACCCUAAUCCAGCCAUGCCGCGUGAGUGAUGAAGGCCUUCGGGUUGUAAAGCUCUUUUGGCGGGGACGAUGAUGACGGUACCCGCAGAAUAAGCCCCGGCUAACUUCGUGCCAGCAGCCGCGGUAAGACGAAGGGGGCUAGCGUUGUUCGGAAUUACUGGGCGUAAAGCGAGUGUAGGCGGUUGCCGUAGUCAGGUGUGAAAGCCUUGAGCUCAACUCAAGAAAUGCACUUGAUACUGGGUGACUAGAGGACCGGAGAGGAUAGUGGAAUUCCCAGUGUAGUGGUGAAAUACGUAGAGAUUGGGAAGAACACCAGUGGCGAAGGCGGCUAUCUGGACGGUUACUGACGCUAAGACUCGAAAGCGUGGGGAGCAAACAGGAUUAGAUACCCUGGUAGUCCACGCCGUAAACGAUGGGUGCUAGACGUUGGCGAGCUUGCUCGUCAGUGUCGCAGCUAACGCGUUAAGCACCCCGCCUGGGGAGUACGGCCGCAAGGUUGAAACUUAAAUGAAUUGACGGGGGUCAUAGCUGUUUCCCU
rnacentral:rRNA from 1 species